UACAGAGGUCUCAAGCGUUGUUCGGAUUCAUUGGGCGUAAAGGGUGCGUAGGCGGCGCGGUAAGUCGGGUGUGAAAUCUCGGAGCUUAACUCCGAAACUGCAUUCGAUACUGCCGUGCUUGAGGACUGGAGAGGAGAUCGGAAUUCACGGUGUAGCAGUGAAAUGCGUAGAUAUCGUGAGGAAGGCCAGUGGCGAAGGCGGCCUGCUGGGCAGUAGCUGACACUGAGGCGCGACAGCGUGGGGAGCAAACAGG
rnacentral:rRNA from 1 species